rnacentral:lncRNA from 1 species
ACCACACCCAUUUGGUUUCAUUUUAUUACAGCUCUGAUGAGUCAUCUCACCCUACCCUUUCCUCUUACACAAAUACAGCCCACAUGCAGUAAAGCAGCGAGCUUCCCACACUGGAGGUAAGCAGUAAGACUCUGGAAACCACCAGCGGGGAUGUCUCUCAGAACUACUGUCCUCAGUGAGACCUCUCUCAUUCCAGAACUCACCAAACACCCCAAACCCUAGGACACAAGUAGCUGUGGCCUCAUAGUCCCCGGAGUUGGUGACAAAGCAGCUGCUGUCCUGGGCCCAAUCCAGGUGGGUGAUA